UACGUAGGGUGCAAGCGUUGUCCGGAAUUAUUGGGCGUAAAGAGCUCGUAGGCGGUUUGUCGCGUCUGCUGUGAAAAUCCGGGGCUCAACCCCGGACUUGCAGUGGGUACGGGCAGACUAGAGUGUGGUAGGGGAGACUGGAAUUCCUGGUGUAGCGGUGGAAUGCGUAGAUAUCAGGAGGAACACCGGUGGCGAAGGCGGGUCUCUGGGCAGUAACUGACGCUGAGGAGCGAAAGCGUGGGGAGCGAACAGG
rnacentral:rRNA from 1 species